rnacentral:rRNA from 1 species
ACAGCUAUUAGAGGCACCUGCCUGCCAGUGACACAUGUUUAACGGCCGCGGUACCCUAGACCGUGCAAAGGUAGCAUAAUCACUUGUUCCUUAAAUAGGGACCUGUAUGAAUGGCUCCACGAGGGUUCAGCUGUCUCUUACUUUUAACCAGUGAAAUUGACCUGCCCGUGAAGAGGCGGGCAUGACACAGCAAGACGAGAAGACCCUAUGGAGCUUUAAUUUAUUAAUGCAAACAGUACCUAACAAACCCACAGGUCCUAAACUACCAAACCUGCAUUAAAAAUUUCGGUUGGGGCGACCUCGGAGCAAAACCCAACCUCCGAGCAGUACAUGCUAAGACUUCACCAGUCAAAGCGAACUACUAUACUCAAUUGAUCCAAUAACUUGACCAACGGAACAAGUUACCCUAGGGAUAACAGCGCAAUCCUAUUCUAAAGUCCAUAUCAACAAUAGGGUUUACAACCUCGAUGUUGGAUCAGGACAUCCCGAUGGUGCACCCGCUAUUAAAGGUUCGUUUGUUCAACGAUUAAAGUCCUACGUGAUCUGAUUUCAAACCGGA